ACGAAUUUUUCAUUAUUAAAUUGACAUCAAUAUAGAUCGCUAUGAAACAAUAGUGUUGCCCUUUACAUGUUACUUUAAGAGGUGUCUUAGAUUGAGAAUCCUUGUCUUUUUACAUAGUUUUUCUUGUUCCUAUUAACUUCUUCAUAAAUGGGGGCGCUCGAUGAUUCCUCCUGCAACCAUGCACGACACACAUGAUUCCUUCGAGACCAUUGUUUUUAAUCAAACAACCGUUUUUCUUCUUCUUAGUUUUUCCGUAUUCGGAUUAUUUCGUUGAUGUCCAACUGUCCAACAUUGUUUCGGGAAAAUUUAAUGUCGCCAAUUGAUUACGAUUAAAAUUUCAAUCAAUUUUUGAGAUCUACUGCCUCAACAAAGAUGUAAAAAACUUCUCUUUUCCUGAAAGCCACAAAAAGUUUUGUUAAUUGCCAAAAACAUUAGAAGAAGAAACCUUUCUUAAUUCAACACAAAAUAUGUACUAGUAGUAUAAAGGGUAAAAGGGAAAAGUUACUUUUUUCUUUAAUUAUGGAUUUAUGUUGGGAAAUUAAUUGGGAAUCAAUGAAAUAAUCUGAUUUAAGGAAAAAAUAAGAGGAAGAUAAAUGGUUGUUGAUUAAAAACUGAGAUCCCGAAGGAUUCAUGAGUGUCGUCCAGACAUGCAGGGGGGAAUCAUAGAUCGCCCCCGUUUAUAGAAAAGCGAAUAGGAUCAAGAAACGGCAUUUAAAAAGACAAGAAUCCCCAGUCAAGAGACUUCUUGACGAAAAAAGUUGAGGCAAGACUAUUGUUUCUCGAGGAUCUUAUAGAUAUCACGAUCAAGGUAAUGAUUGGACAAACAUAUUUUUGGAAUCGAUCUUCCGGAGAGUCUUUGGUUUCUUGUUUACCCUGCACAAAGAGAAGGGUUCAAACAUUUUAAAUAAAAACAACCCUUGUAAUGAAAUUUGAAGAUUGUAAUGUACAAAAUAUAAGAGGUUCUUACCUCAUUUACCCUCAAAGGUUCUCUCUUAAUAACUUGAAACAAACAGUUCUUUGUAGAAGAAAAAAGUUGAAGGAAAGUAAUGCAUACUGCAAUGGUGAAACAAAGAGUUUUUUUAUAGAGGAAUGAAAGAGAGUCGUGACGUCGAUUUGCGCAAAAUGGACGACAUGUGGCAUCCCCCCAAAUACGUGGCACGGUGUGAUUGGAUCAAUUGAAUGACUAGGCGUCUUGCUGACAUAUGGAUGACGCGAAGUGAACGAAUCCCUUGGUUAUGCGUGGCAAUCAUUGAUUGAAUUAAUUUGAAUACAUUGUCACCGAGUCAGGACUGAGAGAAACUAUUAUUUAAGCGAAAAUAUUUAAUUUACCGAGAUUCUACGGUAUAACAACAAUUUAAACAGUCAUGAUCAUGCGUACAAAAUCCUGCAUAUGUUCUUCCCUUUGAGAAUAAAGGAAAAUUAAAUUAAUCUUUUGAUUUCAUAAAUUAAUCUUCUAGCUUCUCUGAAACAAGAGUCUUGUCUCUACUUUUUCAGAUAUUGUUUCGCGAUUCAGCCAACAAUAUCCACAAAGGAUCGUAGCCCUCCUUUGGUUUCAGUAAGGAGUUCGGUUUCUGACUCUUUUUUUUUCGAAUAGGAAAAUCAUGUGAUGUUGUCGUUUGAUUUUCAUUGGAUAAACCAUCACUUACCGUUAAGCCAGGUGGAGUUACUGCUAAACCACAUUCCACCCGACAUGUGGCAUCUACUCCAAUACGUUCAACGUUCUGGAAAUUUUUGGGUUGCCUAAAUUUUGCAUGUUCAUCGCCACAUUGUGAUGUUGUCGUUUGAUUUUC
rnacentral:lncRNA from 1 species